GUACUUCUGAAGAGUCUCAAACCAUGACGAAACAGCUGUCCAGUAC
rfam:Trichobilharzia regenti genome assembly, scaffold: TRE_scaffold0055371